CGGGGAUUGCGAGCGUUGUCCGGAAUUACUAGGCGUAAAGGGCAGGCAGGCGGAUCCAUAAGUUUAUCGUUUAAGGCGUCGGCUUAACCGGCGUAGGGCGGUAGAUACUGUGGAUCUGGAAUGCGGUUGGGGAAGACAGAAUUCCUGGUGUAGCGGUGGAAUGCGCAGAGAUCAGGAGGAAUACCGAAGGCGAAGGCAGUCUUCCAAGCCGUUAUUGACGCUCAACUGCGAAGGUGUGGGUAUCAAACAGGAUUAGAUACCCUGGUAGUCCCU
rnacentral:rRNA from 1 species